AUUGAACGCUGGCGGCAUGCUUUACACAUGCAAGUCGAACGGUAACAGGCCGCAAGGUGCUGACGAGUGGCGAACGGGUGAGUAAUGCAUCGGAACGUGCCCAGUCUUGGGGGAUAACUACUCGAAAGAGUAGCUAAUACCGCAUACGAUCUAUGGAUGAAAGCGGGGGACCGUAAGGCCUCGCGCGAUUGGAGCGGCCGAUGUCAGAUUAGGUAGUUGGUGGGGUAAAGGCUCACCAAGCCAACGAUCUGUAGCUGGUCUGAGAGGACGACCAGCCACACUGGGACUGAGACACGGCCCAGACUCCUACGGGAGGCAGCAGUGGGGAAUUUUGGACAAUGGGCGCAAGCCUGAUCCAGCAAUGCCGCGUGCAGGAAGAAGGCCUUCGGGUUGUAAACUGCUUUUGUACGGAACGAAACGGCUCUGGUUAAUACCCGGGGCUAAUGACGGUACCGGAAGAAUAAGCACCGGCUAACUACGUG
rnacentral:rRNA from 1 species